rnacentral:rRNA from 1 species
CCUACGGGUGGCAGCAGUGAGGAAUAUUGGUCAAUGGGCGGAAGCCUGAACCAGCCAAGUAGCGUGCAGGAUGACGGCCCUACGGAUUGUAAACUGCUUUUGUCCGGGAAUAACGCGCCUUACGUGUAGGUCUUUGCAUGUACCUUAUGAAUAAGGACCGGCUAAUUCCGUGCCAGCAGCCGCGGUAAUACGGAAGGUGCGGGCGUUAUCCGGAUUUAUUGGGUUUAAAGGGAGCGUAGGCCGCCUGUCAAGCGUGCUGUGAAAUGUCCGGGCUCAACCCGGGCCCUGCCGUGCGAACUGGCGUGCUUGAGUCCGCGGAAAGCAGGCGGAAUGCGUCGUGUAGCGGUGAAAUGCUUAGAUAUGACGAAGAACCCCGAUUGCGAAGGCAGCUUGCUGCAGCGGAACUGACGCUGAUGCUCGAAAGCGCGGGUAUCGAACAGGAUUAGAUACCCCAGUAGUC